rnacentral:rRNA from 1 species
UACGAAGGGGCUAGCGUUGCUCGGAAUCACUGGGCGUAAAGGGUGCGUAGGCGGGUCUUUAAGUCAGGGGUGAAAUCCUGGAGCCUCAACUCCAGAACUGCCUUGAUACUGAAGAUCUUGAGUCCGGGAGAGGUGAGUGGAACUGCGAGUGUAGAGGUGAAAUUCGUAGAUAUUCGCAAGAACACCAGUGGCGAAGGCGGCUCACUGGCCCGGUACUGACGCUGAGGCACGAAAGCGUGGGGAGCAAACAGG